AUACGGAAGGUCCGGGCGUUAUCCGGAUUUAUUGGGUUUAAAGGGAGCGCAGGCGGAGAUGCAAGCGUGACGUCAAAUUUCGGGGCUCAACCCCGUCUCGCGUCGCGAACUGCGUCCCUUGGUUGCGGGAAGGGGAGGCGGAACUCGUGGUGUAGCGGUGAAAUGCAUAGAUAUCACGAAGAACUCCGAUCGCGAAGGCAGCCUUCCGGCCCGUCAACGACGCUCAUGCUCGAAGGUGCGGGUAUCAAACAGGAUUAGAUACCCUGGUAGUCCGCACAGUAAACGAUGGACACCCGCGGUUUGGCCUAUAUGGCUGAGCCGCCAAGCGAAAGCGUUAAGUGCCCCACCUGGGGAGUACGCCGGCAACGGUGAAACUCAAAUGAAUUGACGGGG
rnacentral:rRNA from 1 species